rnacentral:rRNA from 1 species
CAGCCGCCGCGGUAAUACAGAGGGUGCGAGCGUUAAUCGGAUUUACUGGGCGUAAAGCGUGCGUAGGCGGCUUUUUAAGUCGGAUGUGAAAUCCCUGAGCUUAACUUAGGAAUUGCAUUUGAUACUGGGAAGCUAGAGUAUGGGAGAGGAUGGUAGAAUUCCAGGUGUAGCGGUGAAAUGCGUAGAGAUCUGGAGGAAUACCGAUGGCGAAGGCAGCCAUCUGGCCUAAUACUGACGCUGAGGUACGAAAGCAUGGGGAGCAAACAGGAUUAGAUACCCCCGUAGUCCCUGUCUCUUAUAC